GGGACACUGUUCUUCAGCCACUGACUAAACCCUUAACUUGGCCAACAAUGGUGGAUAUUCCCGUCCAGAGAGACUGAUGAGACCCACAGAGGACACCAUGCUGUGGACGUCAGGGGCACUGAGUCAGUCUGGGUCCUGUCACUCCAGGCUGAAGGAGCCCGUGGGGAGUAGUGACCAGAUCCCAGGGACAGCUGCAGCUAGGAGAGAGCCUGGGACAGGAGACUCCGCCCCCCAGAGGUCAAAGGCGGCCAGAAACCAGAGGGCAAGAAAACCUCUUGGUAUAGACCACUGA
rnacentral:lncRNA from 1 species